AUUGAACGCUGGCGGCAUGCCUAACACAUGCAAGUCGAGCGGAGCGGCGGACGGGUGAGUAAUGUCUGGGAAACUGCCUGAUGGAGGGGGAUAACUACUGGAAACGGUAGCUAAUACCGCAUACUAUCAGAUGAGCCUAGGUCGGAUUAGCUAGUUGGUGGGGUAAAGGCCUACCAAGGCGACGAUCCGUAACUGGUCUGAGAGGAUGAUCAGUGACACGGGAACUAGACCACGGUCCAGACGCCUACGGGAGGCAGCAGUGGGGAAUAUUGGACAAUGGGAGAAAGCCUGGUCCAGCCAUGCCGCGUGUGUGAAGAAGGUCUUCGGAUUGUGAAGCACUUUAAGUUGUGAGGCGGUACCAACAGAAUAAGCACCGGCUAACUUCGUGCCAGCAGCCGCGGUAAUAC
rnacentral:rRNA from 1 species